rnacentral:rRNA from 1 species
AGCGAACGCUGGCGGCAGGCUUAACACAUGCAAGUCGAGCGGGCGUAGCAAUACGUCAGCGGCAGACGGGUGAGUAGCGCGUGGGAACAUACCUUUUGGUUCGGAACAACACAGGGAAACUUGUGCUAAUACCGGAUAAGCCCUUAACGGGGAAAGAUUUAUCGCCGAAAGAUUGGCCCGCGUCUGAUUAGCUAGUUGGUGAGGUAACGGCUCACCAAGGCGACGAUCAGAGCUGGUCUGAGAGGAUGAUCAGCCACAUUGGGACUGAGACACGGCCCAAACUCCUACGGGAGGCAGCAGUGGGGAAUAUUGGACAAUGGGCGCAAGCCUGAUCCAGCCAUGCCGCGUGAGUGAUGAAGGCCCUAGGG